CUAUGUUUCCAUCCUGGUCAAACAAAGGCAAGAACAAUCAAUAUUGCGACUGAAUUCAGUGCUUUGAAGCGGAUGAUGCCAGUAGAAAUCAUAAUGCCAACCCAACAGUCCCUUACUGUUAACCUACCUACAUAUGAUGUGAAUACAUCUGAGUCCAUUACAUCUGAACCAACUGUCCCUUACCGUUAACCUACCUACACAUGAUGUGAAUACAUCUGAGUCCAUUACAUCUGAAAUCUUCUAUUCAGCAGGCCUUCCUACAAUCUCAGGAAUUUCAGAUGAGGCUGAUGCUCUUUCCUCGCUUCAGAGGCCAAA
rnacentral:lncRNA from 1 species